UUCACACGACAAAACACGGGUCUAGGUCCAUGUAUUCAACACAAAACAACUCAGAAACAUGAAGCAAAUGAACAUUUGAACAAUUUCACUAUCGUCGUUUACCUCGUGUUCAUCGAAAAUCUUGAACAAAUGAAACAAAAUCGAAAAGAGCCUAAUCAUCAUCACCAAAAUCCUAUUUCAAUUCGCAUCCAUCAUCAUCUUCACUGAAUCAAAUCCAUCGAAGCCAAGUCAUAACCAAUUUGUAUCGAGGAGGAAUGCGGAAUCAAGAAGCAAGAAGGAGAAGAUCACUUACCGAAUCAGAGCUCUGACGCGGUGGCUCUCUGAAAAAUUGUAGCAUGGAGAUUUGGUUAAGGAUGUGAUAUAAAAGCAUGAACCGAUGGACAUGGGCUUGAAGAUCAAGAUGAGGACUUAGGGAUGGAUGGUUGACUUUGGUCAACUAGUUAACCAAAACUUCAACAGUUGACCAAAGUCAACGGUAGGGUUUAGACUAGGGUUUUCUCUGUAUGUAAAAUGUAUGGACUUGUAAAAUGUACAUAGAUGACUUGUAACAUAAAAGAUCUUGAAUGAAUAAGACUUGGUUUUAAAUAAAACAUGACUUUCAUGACUA